UGGCGGACGGGUGAGUAACGCGUGGGUAACCUGCCUUGUACUGGGGGACAACAGUUGGAAACGACUGCUAAUACCGCAUAAGCGCACAGCUUCGCAUGAAGCGGUGCGAAAAACUCCGGUGGUACAAGAUGGACCCGCGUCUGAUUAGCUGGUUGGUGAGGUAACGGCCCACCAAGGCGACGAUCAGUAGCCGGCCUGAGAGGGUGAACGGCCACAUUGGGACUGAGACACGGCCCAA
rnacentral:rRNA from 1 species